UGGAUACUUGCCUCGUGUCCUCCA
rnacentral:siRNA from 1 species